AUUGAACGCUGGCGGCAUGCCUUACACAUGCAAGUCGAACGGUAACAGGUCUUCGGAUGCUGACGAGUGGCGAACGGGUGAGUAAUACAUCGGAACGUGCCUGGUAGUGGGGGAUAACUACUCGAAAGAGUGGCUAAUACCGCAUGAGAUCUACGGAUGAAAGCAAGGGAUCGCAAGACCUUGUGCUACUAGAUCUGGCGAUGGCAGAUUAGGUAGUUGGUGGGAUAAAAGCUUAACAAGCCGACGAUCUGUAGCUGGUCUGAGAGGACGAUCAGCCACACUGGGACUGAGACACGGCCCAGACUCCUACGGGAGGCAGCAGUGGGGAAUUUUGGACAAUGGGCGCAAGCCUGAUCCAGCAAUGCCGCGUGCAGGAUGAAGGCCUUCGGGUUGUAAACUGCUUUUGUACGGAACGAAAAGCCCUGGGUUAAUACCCUGGGGUCAUGACGGUAGCGUAAGAAUAAGCACCGGCUAACUACGUGCCAGCCGCCGCCGUAAUAC
rnacentral:rRNA from 1 species